rnacentral:rRNA from 1 species
UACAGAGGGUGCGAGCGUUAAUCGGAAUUACUGGGCGUAAAGGGCGCGUAGGCGGUUAUGUAAGUUAGAUGUGAAAUCCCCGGGCUCAACCUGGGAACUGCAUUUAAGACUGUAUAGCUAGAGUAGAAGAGAGGGGAGUGGAAUUUCCGGUGUAGCGGUGAAAUGCGUAGAUAUCGGAAAGAACACCAGUGGCGAAGGCGACUUCCUGGAUUCAUACUGACGCUGAGGCGCGAAAGCAUGGGUAGCAAACAGG